ACCGCGAAACUGCGAAUGGCUCAUUAUAUAAGUUAUCGUUUAUUUGAUAAUACUUUACUACUUGGAUAACCGUGGUAAUUCUAGAGCUAAUACAUGCUGAAAAUCCCGACUUCGGAAGGGAUGUAUUUAUUAGAUUAAAAACCAAUGCCCCUCGGGGCUCUCUGGUGAAUCAUGAUAACUAGUCGAAUCGACAGGCCUUGUGCCGGCGAUGGCUCAUUCAAAUUUCUUCCCUAUCAACUUUCGAUGUUUGGGUAUUGGCCAAACAUGGUGGCAACGGGUAACGGAGGGUUAGGGCUCGACCCCGGAGAAGGAGCCUGAGAAACGGCUACUACAUCCAAGGAAGGCAGCAGGCGCGCAAAUUACCCAAUCCCGACACGGGGAGGUAGUGACAAUAAAUACUGAUACAGGGCUCUUUUGGGUCUUGUAAUCGGAAUGAGUACAAUUUAAAUCCCUUAACGAGGAACAAUUGGAGGGCAAGUCUGGUGCCAGCAGCCGCGGUAAUUCCAGCUCCAAUAGCGUAUAUUAAAGUUGUUGUGGUUAAAAAGCUCGUAGUUGAACCUUGGGCCUGGCUGGCCGGUCCGCCUCACCGCGUGCACUGGUCCGGCCGGGCCUUUCCCUCUGCGGAACCCCAUGCCCUUCACUGGGUGUGGCGGGGAAACAGGACUUUUACUUUGAAAAAAUUAGAGUGCUCAAGGCAGGCCUAUGCUCGAAUACAUUAGCAUGGAAUAAUAGAAUAGGACGUGUGGGUUCUAUUUUGUUGGUUUC
rnacentral:rRNA from 1 species